AGUGGGGGAUAACGUCCCGAAAGGAACGCUAAUACCGCAUACGUCCUACGGGAGAAAGCAGGGGACCUUCGGGCCUUGCGCUAUCAGAUGAGCCUAGGUCGGAUUAGCUAGUUGGUGAGGUAAUGGCUCACCAAGGCGACGAUCCGUAACUGGUCUGAGAGGAUGAUCAGUCACACUGGAACUGAGACACGGUCCAGACUCCUACGGGAGGCAGCAGUGGGGAAUAUUGGACAAUGGGCGAAAGCCUGAUCCAGCCAUGCCGCGUGUGUGAAGAAGGUCUUCGGAUUGUAAAGCACUUUAAGUUGGGAGGAAGGGCAGUAAGUUAAUACCUUGCUGUUUUGACGUUACCAACAGAAUAAGCACCGGCUAACUUCGUGCCAGCAGCCGCGGUAAUACGAAGGGUGCAAGCGUUAAUCGGAAUUACUGGGCGUAAAGCGCGCGUAGGUGGUUUUGUAAGUUGGAGGUGGAAUCCCCGGGCUCAACCUGGGAACUGCCUCCAAAACUGCAUGACUAGAGUACGGUAGAGGGUAGUGGAAUUUCCUGUGUAGCGGUGAAAUGCGUAGAUAUAGGAAGGAACACCAGUGGCGAAGGCGACUACCUGGACUGAUACUGACACUGAGGUGCGAAAGCGUGGGGAGCAAACAGGAUUAGAUACCCUGGUAGUCCACGCCGUAAACGAUGUCAACUAGCCGUUGGGUACCUUGAGUACUUAGUGGCGCAGCUAACGCAUUAAGUUGACCGCCUGGGGAGUACGGCCGCAAGGUUAAAACUCAAAUGAAUUGACGGGGGCCCGCACAAGCGGUGGAGCAUGU
rnacentral:rRNA from 1 species